GAUGAACGCUGGCGGCGUGCUUAGCACAUGCAAGUCGAACGAUGAAGCUCAGCUUGCUGGGUGGAUUAGUGGCGAACGGGUGAGUAACACGUGAGUAACCUGCCCUUUACUCUGGGAUAAGCCUGGGAAACUAGGUCUAAUACCGGAUAGGAGCGCCUACCGCAUGGUGGGUGUUGGAAAGAUUUAUCGGUUUUGGAUGGACUCGCGGCCUAUCAGCUUGUUGGUGAGGUAAUGGCUCACCAAGGCGACGACGGGUAGCCGGCCUGAGAGGGUGACCGGCCACACUGGGACUGAGACACGGCCCAGACUCCUACGGGAGGCAGCAGUGGGGAAUAUUGCACAAUGGGCGAAAGCCUGAUGCAGCGACGCCGCGUGAGGGAUGACGGCCUUCGGGUUGUAAACCUCUUUCAGUAGGGAAGAAGCGAAAGUGACGGUACCUGCAGAAGAAGCACCGGCUAACUACGU
rnacentral:rRNA from 1 species